rnacentral:tRNA from 1 species
GGUGGGGUUCCCGAGCGGUCAAAGGGAACAGACUGUAAAUCUGUCAGCUCAGCUUUCGAUGGUUCGAAUCCAUCCCCCACCACCA